rnacentral:rRNA from 1 species
GAUGAACGCUGGCGGCGUGCCUAAUACAUGCAAGUCGAGCGAACAGACGAGGAGCUUGCCCCUCUGACGUUAGCGGCGGACGGGUGAGUAACACGUGGAUAACCUACCUAUAAGACUGGGAUAACUUCGGGAAACCGGAGCUAAUACCGGAUAAUAUAUUGAACCGCAUGGUUCAAUAGUGAAAGACGGUUUUGCUGUCACUUAUAGAUGGAUCCUCGCCGCAUUAGCUAGUUGGUAAGGUAACGGCUUACCAAGGCAACGAUGCGUAGCCGACCUGAGAGGGUGAUCGGCCACACUGGAACUGAGACACGGUCCAGACUCCUACGGGAGGCAGCAGUAGGGAAUCUUCCGCAAUGGGCGAAAGCUUGACGGAGCAACGCCGCGUGAGUGAUGAAGGUCUUCGGAUCGUAAAACUCUGUUAUUAGGGAAGAACAAAUGUGUAAGUAACUAUGCACGUCUUGACGGUACCUAAUCAGAAAGCCACGGCUAACUACGUG